UACGUAGGGGGCAAGCGUUGUCCGGAUUUAUUGGGCGUAAAGAGCGUGUAGGCGGCUUGGUAGGUCCGCUGUGAAAACUCGAGGCUCAACCUCGAGAUGUCGGCGGAAACCACUUGGCUAGAGUCCGGAAGAGGAGAGUGGAAUUCCCGGUGUAGCGGUGAAAUGCGCAGAUAUCAGGAGGAAUACCGGUGGUGUAGACGGCUCUCUGGACCGCCACUGACGCUGAGACACGAAAGCGUGGGUAGCAAACAGG
rnacentral:rRNA from 1 species